rnacentral:lncRNA from 1 species
AUUUCAGGUCUUCUGGCUUAGUCAUUGUUCCCAUGUGAACGGUGCACUUAUCAAUGUGACCAGCUACAAAUUCAGUACUGCUGCGUCCAAUGGUCUGUCUUCAGGAGUGAGUAGCGGAGGCGGCAAAAUGAGAAGGGAAAGAGGAAUACACUAUUUAUCAAGAGCUGUACAAGAACAGAUUCUUCAAACUAUAACA